rnacentral:rRNA from 1 species
GUGGGGAAUAUUGCGCAAUGGGCGAAAGCCUGACGCAGCCAUGCCGCGUGAAUGAUGAAGGUCUUAGGAUUGUAAAAUUCUUUCACCGGGGACGAUAAUGACGGUACCCGGAGAAGAAGCUCCGGCUAACUUCGUGCCAGCAGCCGCGGUAAUACGAAGGGGGCUAGCGUUGCUCGGAAUUACUGGGCGUAAAGGGCGCGUAGGCGGACAGCUUAGUCAGAGGUGAAAGCCCAGGGCUCAACCUUGUAAUUGCCUUUGAUACUGGCUGUCUAGAGUUUGGGAGAUGUGAGUGGAACUCCGAGUGUAGAUGUGAAAUUCGUAGAUAUUCGGAAGAACACCAGUGGCGAAGGCGACUCACUAGCCCAAUACUGACGCUGAGGCGCGAAAGCGUGGGGAGCAAACAGGAUUAGAAACCCGAGUAGUCC